CGUUACUAACUGGAUCAUAGUUUGAAAAACUCAAAAAAUUUUCAUGUUGUUAUCAGCUUCGUCUCUUAUUUGUCUUAUGGGAAUGGAGUUAAAUAACAGCACUGAAUUC